rfam:Ovis aries breed Texel chromosome 2, whole genome shotgun sequence.
UAGCUAAAAUGGUAAAGAAUCUGCCUGCAAUGCAGGAAACCAGGGUUCGAUCCCUG